CACAUGACUCUCGGCAACGGAUAUCUUGGCUCUCGCAUCGUGAAAUGCGAUACCUGGUGUGAAUUGCAGAAUCCCGUGAACCAUCGAGUUUUUGAACGCAAGUUGCGCCCGAGGCCUUUUGGUCGAGGGCACGUCUGCCUGGGCGUCACGU
rnacentral:rRNA from 1 species